UACAGAGGUCCCAAGCGUUGUUCGGAUUCACUGGGCGUAAAGGGUGCGUAGGUGGCAGGGUAAGUUUGAUGUGAAAUCUCCGAGCUUAACUCGGAAACUGCAUUGAAUACUAUUCUGCUCGAGGUUUGGAAGGGGGACUGGAAUUCUCGGUGUAGCAGUGAAAUGCGUAGAUAUCGAGAGGAACACCAGUGGCGAAGGCGAGUCCCUGGACAACACCUGACACUGAGGCACGAAAGCUAGGGGAGCAAACAGG
rnacentral:rRNA from 1 species